CUUAGGAGGAAGAACAGACCUCAAACUGAUUUCUAUUUUGCCCUCACAUACCGUGGAGCAAACAUUUGCUGAAAAGACACACUAAGAGAAGGAAGCACAGGUAGGGGCUUUCAAAACAACUUGCCAGUAAACUCUUCUGAGUUACCUUUCCAAGUGGGUAGCCUUUGAACCAGUAAGUGAGGGGCUCCUGUACUUGAGGGAAGCGGACACUCCCAGGCUUCUUAGGGCUAUUUCCCAAUGACAUGGUCACUGUGGUUGCUGCUAGUGAGAGCGGAAGAUCAAGAAUAUUCUAGAAUGUCUUCCCUUGCUCAGUAGUAGCGUGAUCAUCUGGCAUGUUCAAGGCCUGGGGUUCACUUACCAACACUGCAAAAAAUAAAUAAGUAACACACCAUUGACUUAUAAUAAAUAAACUACAGGACGGGAUUGAGCAGCGAAGAGGGAAUUGCCGAGGCAGCAGGGUGAAAGAGAAGCAACACACGCUGGAUGAGGCAGACCAAGGGGGGGAAACGUCAGAAUAAAAGUGAAAAAGAAAGGUCAAGACACACACAGAACAUUCCUUCGUUUAAAGAGGACUGAGCAGAAGACAGAAUGGCGAUUUAAGAGAGCCGGCAUCAAAUGGACGCCUCGGAGUUGACAGUAAUUAAGAAGACCAAAGGAGGUAUUUGGCCAAGAGCUAGCCAGCCAUCUGUUUCCUAAAUCACCUCCCACCUUGUGAUAAACCUUACCUGGCAUAAAUGUGACUCAGUGGACAGCCAUUCUCAACUUCGGCUGAAUUUAAGAAACACCCGAGGAAUUACAAGCAUGAAUACUGACACCUGGCUCCUCCCCCAGGCGAUCAGCUGUUGGAUUCAGACGGAAUGCACUCCAGUUAUGAAAGUUUCAAAAUCUCCCUGGGAGAUUCUUACACCCAUCAAAACUUGUGAAACACCAAAAACCUUAACCCAGGGCCACAGGUGGCUAGCACAGCCUUUCCCAGGAAGCACGCAGCCCAGAUGGCCAAGACUGACUUCCCCAGGCCAGGCUGGUGACUCAUUCAGCUGGAAGAUUAAUGGGAAAUUUACUUGCUGACUCAGGAAGACGUGAACCUUGGCAAACGUUUCCUUCCAUUUAAAUCCAAAGUGGGAGAGAAAUCCAAAAUAAAUAUUAACUACAGGGAAAUAUGGUAAAAUAUUUUAACAUGAGAGAAUAAGCAAGUUAAUCACGUUUUAGUUUAUUAAAUACUUUUUUUUUUUUUUUAAAGGCAGGAUCUCACUAU